GGGGGUGCUAACCUGGGAAGAACUGGUGUUAUCACCGACAGAAAGAGGCACCCUGGAUGUUUUGACGUGGUUCACGUGAAAGAUGCCAACAGCAACAGCUUUGCCACCCAGCUUUCCAACCUUUUUGUUAUUGGCAAGGGCAGCAAACCAUGGAUUUCUCUUCCCCGAGGAAAGGGUGUCCGCCAUUCAACCCAUUGCUAAAGGGAGAGACGAGACUGUGGCCAGAGCAGUGGGUGA
rnacentral:lncRNA from 1 species